CAGUGAGUGGCUUUGCAUUAAGUAAGUGCCCUUAAUCAGCUUUUCAGUUCAGUUUUAUUGGUUGCACCACAGUUAUUUCAUCCAGAAAAUCUGAGGGCCCUACAAAGCUAAGCAGCAUUCAGCACUGACAUCAGGCAGGAGAGAACAAUGAGUGAGGCAGCUUAAUCCACACAACCCUCUCCCGUGCCUUUCGAUUGUAAGAUUUCUACUCAUCCACUGCACCAAGAGAAAAGCUGCAGCCAGAACAGAUUCUUUCCUCUUUCUCCUUUUUGCAAGAUUACUUGUAUCACAGGAGAUAUGGAGAAGCUGUACAGGUUGGGAGUUGGAGACAUCCUUACGCCAGUGAAACUGAAGCAGCCCGCUGAAUUCAACCCAAGCAUUUAACACCACUGCAGCUUGAAUACCAGGUUUGGUCAACAUAAAAUAAAAAAUAUUCAUGUGUAGUUAUGUAUUUUUCUGGAGGACAGUCAACCCCAGAAGCCGGUCAGGUAAGUGGAAGAAUUUUGGAUUGAUAUCUAAUGGGAAUAAACAUGAUUCAUGUGCCAGAUAUGUGCACAGAUAUGUGCUUAUCCACAGAGUAUCUUCUGACAAAUACUCAAUAUUUGAUUAGGAUG